GUUUCUGUAUGCAAUCACCAAGCAGAAAAGAUAUCCGGAUGUUCUAUUAAGGGGUAAGCCAGCUACCAUACUGUGAAAACACUCAAGCAGCAUCACUGAAGGACCUGCAUGGAGAGAAAUUGAGGUCUCCACUCAACUAGCAAGUACCAUAUUCCCAGCCAUGCAUAUGAGUUACAUUGGAAGUGAAUCAGCAGCUCCCUUCCAGCCUUCAGAUGACUAUAGCAGCAGUUGACAUUAAACAACAAUCUCACAAGACACACCCAGCUGUCACAUAUAUGAGAUGGAGGCAAUAAUACCAAUCCUACCUCCUAUCAGGGUGAGUGAAUGGCUUAAGUGAGAGGGCAGAUGAUAAACUUCUGGGAGCAGCUCUGAUACAGAAGAGAAAGCAUGGAUCUAAGUAAUGGUACUCUUCCUAAAUUUGAGGUCUGAUUCCACUUUUUACAAGAGAAAAGAAGCACCUGCUGAUUUUCUGCUUUAUCAAGAAACACCUGCUGCUUUAUCAAGAGUGAGUAGAGGUUACAGAAACCAAACAAACAAGAAACGACAACAAAAACACUGUGGUCAACUUCUCUGGGAGUGUGGCAAACAAGAAAGGGAACAGUAGGCCCAGUGCAGUGGCUCACAUCUGUAAUCCCAGCACAUUGGGAGGCUGAGACGGGAGGAUCUCUUGAACCUAGGAGUUCAAGACCAAACAGGGCAACCUGGUGAAACCCUGUCUCUACUAAAAAUACAAAAAAUUAGCUGGGCAUGGUGGCGCAUGUCUGUAGUCCCAGCUACAUGGAAGGCUGAGAUGGGAGGAUCACUUGAAAUCAGGAAGUUGAGGCUGCAGUGAGCCAAGAUCAUGCCACUGCACUCCAGCCUGAGCAAUGGGAGUGAAACCCCAUCUCAAAAGAAAGGGAACAGUAGCACAAUGAUAGGGCAUGACAAUGUCUGUUCUGUUACCCAGAUCUAGCCUUCCCACUGGACUUUGCCCUGUAAGUCCUUCUGGAGUGGUACAGAAAAGCUUCAGAAGCUUUUUCCAAGAGGAAUCUUGUGCGACUCUGGCUAUAAACAAUGCUCCUCUGGACCCAGGUACCAAUGGGAAACACACAGUAGGAGACAUAAUUUAUCUUCCCAUUUGUGCUCCAACACCCUGAGGAAGGACUGCACCUACAGUUUUGCAGUUAUAGCAGCCUGAGCAUUGUGCUAGAGAAAGACAUGUUCUUCCCAGAGCGACAGUGGUAGCUGGCCCAGCAGAGCACCAGUGGAGACAGCAAAGACACGGUGCAGCCUGGUAAAAGAACAUUGGCUUGAAGCAUGUCCAUCCUCAACACUGAGACAUAUUGAACCCGUAAGAAUGCUUAAGGAGAAAUUCUCAGGGACACCAGUUCCUACACUUAUGAUGGUGAGAGGUAAAGAAAAAUGUGAAAUUUGGGUGCAAAUGCUAAUAUUAGUGUAUCUGUGCCUUAGAGUGGUGGUCUUUGGGAUUCUUCAGGCUCUUUAUUUAGUAGCUUUAAUGCUAGCUUGAAUUUCCUACUCUUACUUUUUUGACCUCAUUUUUUUUACAUUAAAACAUUUAAUAUUGUGACAUUAUUAUACACUUUUUUCUUAAGCGAAAUUAAAUAUUUUCUUAGAAUAAGAUAGUACUAAAUAAAUGAUUAAGUGAUUGAUAUUUUACAGUAGAAGCUCAAAUGAGCAAUAAACAUGUAAUGCAAAAGAAGUUUGUGGUAGACCAAGUGAUAACCACCCAAAGAUGUCCACUUCCUGCUUGCCUGUAUCUAUGAAUAUGUUAUCUUACAUGGCAAAAGGGACCCUACAGAUGUGAUUAAGUUAAGGAUCAUAAAAUGGAAGAUUAUCCUGGAUUUAUUGGGUAGGACCAAUAUAAUCACAAUGGUGCUUAUAAGACAGAAGGUGGAAACAAAUGAGUCAUGGAAGGAGAUAUGACGAUGGAAGCAGAAAUCAGAGAAAUGCAGCCACUAGCCAAGAGAUGCAGGCAGGCCCUAGACAUUGGAAGAGGCAUUGAACAGAUUCUCUCCUAAUAGCCUCUAAAAAGAAUGCAACUCUGCAGAACCUCUGAUGAUUUUCGUGCUGUAAGAGCUAUUCUGAACUUCUGAUUUCCAGAACUGUUAAAACCUUAAAUGUACAUUAUUAUAUAAUAGUACAUUUGUGGAAAUUUGUUACAGCAUCAGCAGGAGUAUAGUACAAGACUUUAAUGAGAUACACUUUACUCCUAUCAAAUUGCUUUUUUUUCCCCCUAGGUAACACUAAAUGUUUAGUAAAGUUUAGUAAAAAUAGAACUAAUAUCCACCACUGAUAAAGUAUAAGCUGAAAUAUUUUCAGAAAGUAAGCAGCAUAGACAAAGGUCUAAAUCCUUAAAGUAAUUUUAAUACUUUGACCAGGUAACUAAAUUUCAGGAAUUUAAGAUGAGAAAAUAAUUAGAUAUGUGUAUAAAUACCUUUACACAGUGCUGUGCAUUCAAACAUUACAUAUGCUGAAACUAGAUUCACUUAAAUGGUUUGGAUAAACUUUACUGUAUCCAUGCAAAGAAAUAUAUUACACAGUUGUCAACUGCAUUAAAUGCCAAAGUAAAGAGUCAGACACCUAAGUUAUUGUAUAUUAUAGCUCUAAUGUUAUAAAAUAUAACUAUAAAUCAAUAUUUGUGAAAGAAAAAUAUUAAUAUGAAAUAUACUAAUAUAACUCAUUUUUGAAUGAGAUGUGUGAUGUGUCUUUUUGCCUUUACAUCGUCCUGAUAUUUUUUCAUUUUUUCAUGAAGGGUUAGUACAUUACUUCCAUAAUCAUAAAAAGUAAAUAUGAAAUGUAUAUUUAACAUGUUAUUAUGAGGAAACUCAAUAAAUAAAGCAUAUCAUCACUGUUAUGCUGGAAACGAAUGCUGUAAGCCCAGAAUCCUCACAGUAAGAUAGCAUCAUUCUGUUAACUGAUAGUUGGAAAGCUAUUGGCUGGUAUGUCUGUCAAUUCAAUUGUUAAUCUGUAUUCUGUAUAUUUUUUAAUAUUAAAAAUCAUUUUAAAAUGUAAACUCCAUUAUUGUUAUAAUUUUAAAAAUUAACUAAGGUGCCAGGAGUUGUGAAUCAUCACCACAGGGUUAACAAUAAGAAGUUAUAUGACUUUCAACUCUUUCCUUUAACCUUCUGGAAUACAAUUUUCUCACCUAAAAAACAAAGAUGUUUCAUUAGAUGAUUAGUCGAUUAAUUUAUGGUUUUCCAAUUGUGACUCUUGUAAGGAUCUAAAAUAUUUAUGCCGCACACCUCUUCUGAGAAGAAACUGUCGUUGCUCCAAUAUUCCUGCCUACAUCUAACAAUAUUCCCCGUAAAUUACUCUGUAAUCCUUUUUCACUCCUUACAUGCCUUCAUGUCUCUUCUAGUAGAUUAGAUAACGAUGUAUGUUCCACUCUGAGCAGGUAUAUUCAGACCUACCUAUAAAGGUCAAGGGAGCUGAGAGGCCAAAGAAAGGGACUGACAAAUCCAGUUUCUCAGAAAGAAACUGUCAGGCCUCUGAGCCCAAGCCAACCAUCCCAGC
rnacentral:lncRNA from 10 species